UGAAAUCAAUUAAAUCUUAAUCACAUAAAAAUUAGCACAAAAAAAA
rnacentral:sRNA from 1 species